UACGGAGGGGGCGAGCGUUAUUCGGAAUUAUUGGGCAUAAAGGGCGCGUAGGCGGCCCGGUAAGUCAAAGGUGAAAUCCCUCGGCUCAACUGAGGAACUGCCUUUGAAACUGUCGGGCUUGAGGCCGGGAGGGGGUAGCGGAAUUCCCAGUGUAGCGGUGAAAUGCGUAGAUAUCCGGAGGAACACCAGUGGCGAAGGCGGCUUCCUGGACCGGUUCUGACACUGAGGAGCGAAAGCGUGGGGAGCGAUCCGG
rnacentral:rRNA from 1 species